rnacentral:rRNA from 1 species
GACGAACGCUGGCGGCGUGCCUAAUACAUGCAAGUAGAACGCUGAAGGAGGAGCUUGCUUCUCUGGAUGAGUUGCGAACGGGUGAGUAACGCGUAGGUAACCUGCCUGGUAGCGGGGGAUAACUAUUGGAAACGAUAGCUAAUACCGCAUAAGAGUAGAUGUUGCACGACAUUUGCUUAAAAGGUGCAAUUGCAUCACUACCAGAUGGACCUGCGUUGUAUUAGCUAGUUGGUGGGGUAACGGCUCACCAAGGCGACGAUACAUAGCCGACCUGAGAGGGUGAUCGGCCACACUGGGACUGAGACACGGCCCAGACUCCUACGGGAGGCAGCAGUAGGGAAUCUUCGGCAAUGGACGGAAGUCUGACCGAGCAACGCCGCGUGAGUGAAGAAGGUUGUCGGAUCGUAAAGCUCUGUUGUAAGAGAAGAACGAGUGUGAGAGUGGAAAGUUCACACUGUGACGGUAUCUUACCAGAAAGGGACGGCUAACUACGUG